GCUGGGUGGAUUAGUGGCGAACGGGUGAGUAACACGUGAGUAACCUGCCCUUGACUCUGGGAUAAGCCUGGGAAACUGGGUCUAAUACCGGAUAUGACCUUCCAUCGCAUGGUGGUUGGUGGAAAGCUUUUGUGGUUUUGGAUGGACUCGCGGCCUAUCAGCUUGUUGGUGGGGUAAUGGCCUACCAAGGCGAUGACGGGUAGCCGGCCUGAGAGGGUGACCGGCCACACUGGGACUGAGACACGGCCCAGACUCCUACGGGAGGCAGCAGUGGGGAAUAUUGCACAAUGGGCGCAAGCCUGAUGCAGCGACGCCGCGUGAGGGAUGACGGCCUUCGGGUUGUAAACCUCUUUCAGUAGGGAAGAAGCGAAAGUGACGGUACCUGCAGAAGAAGCGCCGGCUAACUACGUGCCAGCAGCCGCGGUAAUACGUAGGGCGCAAGCGUUAUCCGGAAUUAUUGGGCGUAAAGAGCUCGUAGGCGGUUUGUCGCGUCUGCUGUGAAAGACCGGGGCUCAACUCCGGUUCUGCAGUGGGUACGGGCAGACUAGAGUGAUGUAGGGGAGACUGGAAUUCCUGGUGUAGCGGUGAAAUGCGCAGAUAUCAGGAGGAACACCGAUGGCGAAGGCAGGUCUCUGGGCAUUAACUGACGCUGAGGAGCGAAAGCAUGGGGAGCGAACAGGAUUAGAUACCCUGGUAGUCCAUGCCGUAAACGUUGGGCACUAGGUGUGGGGGACAUUCCACGUUUUCCGCGCCGUAGCUAACGCAUUAAGUGCCCCGCCUGGGGAGUACGGCCGCAAGGCUAAAACUCAAAGGAAUUGACGGGGGCCCGCACAAGCGGCGGAGCAUGCGGAUUAAUUCGAUGCAACGCGAAGAAUCUUUACCAAAGGCUUGACAUGGACUGGAUCGCUCUGGAAACAGGGUUUCCCUUCGGGGCUGGUUCACAGGUGGUGCAUGAUGUCGUCAGCUCGUGUCGUGAGAUGUUGGGUUAAGUUCCCGCAACGAGCGCACCCUCGUUUCCAUGUUGCCAGCACGUAGUGGUGGGGACUCAUGGGGAGA
rnacentral:rRNA from 1 species